UUUUGAUAGUAAUUAAUUGGGAAGACGGAUUUCAAAUUGACAUAUCCUUUACACAAACGUGAAUGACAACGAUGAUAGUGUCACCACCAAACAAUCGGACAUUCCCGAUUUUUGCCUCUCACUGACAGCAUCCAAAAUUUGCAAUAAGAUGUCAUGGGUGCAAAGGUUUUGUUCGCAAACUCCAUAGUAGGGCAGAUCACUCCUUUUCUGGUUGCAACGCAGAUUAUUCCACCAGACUCUGCAAGCCCAUGUUUACAGACAAGCAAGAUCGCCUUUGUAGUCGUACCUAAAUGCAUGUGCUUUAAUUUAAAUUUUGAUAUAUAGACCAGCCAAUGUUUAUUGUAUGGUGUAAAAGGAUG